AAUACUGAUAAUAAUCUCUUUAAAGUAUUUGCUUUUUCAAUCCAAAAGUAGAGAGAGAGAAAUAUCAAAAUAUGCUAUCUCAAAACUCAAUGUGUUAACUCUCUCUGGAAUUCUCUCUAAAAAAACCCUAAAACAAAGCUUUAAAUAGUUCACCCUAAAUAAGGAUACAAAAUCAAGGUUACAACUUUUUCUCGAAAUAGACGAUAACUAUUGGUGAUGCCUUAUCAGGAUUCUGACGACUUAUCAAGUAUGUUGUCAGGUCUUCUUCAAAUCUGCACUAGUCCUGUCUUAGGUUGACGGCAAAUUCUGAUGGCUUAUCAGGACUGUGAUGACUUAUCAGAAAUAUCAUCACACUUUUGCUCCAAUUCUCAUGUCCUUCCUAAAACUCUGAUGGCAUUCCUGACACUUAUCACUAUUAUGAAGGCCUAUCAUAAAAUAUCGUCGAUUCUACCAGCUGGAACUCAUUCCUUAUUUAAGGCUGACGAUGGCAUUGAUAGCCUAUCACCGGGCUGACAACCUAUCAUGAAUGUCGUUAGCUGCACUUGUCUUUUAAUUGCUUCAGAUUUUAGCCUUUUUGCUUUCAUUAGUGUUGGUUUCCCUGUAUCUCAACCUUUACUACAAAAUCAAAGUAAAACUAAUCAAAAACAACUAAAGUUUCUCAACACCUUGCAAUUAUUUAGAGUUAAAAGCCUCAAAUAUGUUAGCAUAAGCUCACACAUCAAUGAUUGAUGUUUGUAGUAGGGAUAGUAUGAAAUAAGCUGAAAACUAUACAUCAUUUGGAAGUUGGACAAAAACAAAAUACUAAAGAAUGUCCUGCAAUCACUCAAGAUCCUAGAGGACUUGCAACCUUUUCUUAGGCUGAAGUAACCAGCCUUGCAAACUCUUUAUUUAGCCUUGAUGCAUCUGUACCAAACAACCACUUUGUACAAGUACUUUUAGAUAAAAUUAUCCUUUAAUUAGAACUCAUUUUGACUGUAUAAACAUACAUAAUUCUCAUAGUCAAGAAAACAUGCAACAACUUCGUCUAACUCUCAAAUCCUCCCAACUUAUAAAGGGAUAAAAAUUAAUCUUAAGUAAAUGAUGACAUCACGAGAAGUGUUUUGUUCUUCUAGGAGAGCCAUUUUCUUCAAUAUUCUGAACCUAAGCUUCUCAGUAAAUCCCUAAAAGACAGUCUACUUGCAUGUAACUAGCACUUUGUACACAAUAGUGAUUUUCUAUAUAAUUAUAGCCAUGUGUAUUUAUUCCAUAGGUGUAUAGAUCCCUUUUUUCAUUUUUAUGAGGGUGGUGUUCGUACCAGCUAGUACACCCACCUACCAUUCCACCAGCAUAGUUGUUGGGUAACUCUGUCCAUAGGAAUUGAACCUGAGAGCUUAUUAUACACACCCUCAGGUGCCCCUGGUCUUUCUGUUCAUUACAUUGCUUAGUCAUUAAUAUUAUUUAGGAAUAUUUCCAUAUCUUCAAAUGAAGUUGAUCAAACUAACCAAAUAUAAGUACUUAUUAUAGACAUUCUGAAUUUGGAAUAUUAUAUACACAUGCAUACAAAUACACACAUCAACCUAUUUUCCAUAUUUUCCCCCUAUUCUGUUAGUGUAAGGGAACUCACCUUCUCCUCUAUUCUGAAAUUCCAGCAAGUAACUCAUGUUUAUUACCUUAAGAACUUUAUCUAGUGUCUUACAAGUUUUAUCACAGAUGUAAUUCUCCACCAUUUCCUUACUUUUUACACCUCUUCCUUUUUUUCAUCUCUCUAUCUUUUAAUAUUUUUCAAGGAUAAGCAAGAAUUUUAUCUCCAUUUCUACAAACAGGAAGAAAAUCACUCCAGUAAAUAAGCUUUUCAAAGGAGAGUAGUGAAGGCAAAUGUUUCAUAGAUUCAGAUUCUUUUAAGGCUUGGUUCUUAAAUAGUUCAAUUAGUACAAAUCAUAUAUUAAAUCUUGAUCAAGUAUUCUAGUUAAUAACUAGGACACUAAAGCAAAUUCCAAAACCUGCAUCUUCAACUUACUUCAAAAGCUUUCAGAUUUUGCAUGGACUUAAAUACAAAUGUCAUAAUUUCAAGCACUCAAAUUUGGGUAAAGAAAAUUAUUACCAGCAGAGUGAAACUCUCAGCAUCAUAUAAUCACAAUCAAUUUUCCUUGUGUUGAGUAUCUAUAUGAAAACAACCUUUGUACCUUCCAAGGUAGGGGCAAGGUCUGUGUAUACACUAUCUUACCUAGACCCCACGUUAUGUGAUUACACUGGAUCUGUUGUUAUUAUCAUAUAAUCGUAAUCAAAACUAAGCACACAGUACCUAAGAGUAAAGUAUAAUAGAAAUAUAAGAAACCCAAAACUAUGCAGAAAAAAUCAAAAAAUACGAUAAUAUUUAAAGAAAUAUAACAAACAAGAGAGUAGAUGCUCACAGAAAGACCUUAAGUAUAGCUCUGUUGCUAGUAAUCCAAGUGGAAAUGCCUUCAGGUAAGAUAACAAUAUAUUAUCUAUUACCACAACUCUAGCACCAAGACUUCGGCAACUCUGGCACUAAGAUUAUUUCAACUUCCAAACAGAAAGUGUUUGGAAAGUGCACCAUGUUUAGUUCAUAAGACUUUGGCAAAUUAUAAACUAUGUUGGGGCUGACUGUUUCAAAACAUCUACUAUAAUCUAGUUUAAUGUUGACUUUUAGGAUUAAUUUUUUUUGGAGUGUAUGUUGACUAUUUUGAUGUGCUUGCUGGUUUUCUUGAUAUGAGGUCUAAAAUACACUGAAAGUGUAGUGUAUUUAGCCAUUUUAGCUCAUUUCUUGACUUGGGUCCUGCUCAUUUUCUUGGUUGGAGGUCAAAAACAAAUCGAAAGUUUAGUUAGUGUAGUGUGGCUAGCUAGCUACUUGCUUAACUACAACUGCUAGGCUAUCUGUUACAUAGUAGAACUAAUCCUUUGCUACUAUUUCACGGUAGCACUAAUCCCUACUGCUAGAAUUUUGUCUUUUAAAAGAAAUAUUUGUAGCAGGGAUAGUGUUGAUCAGAAUAUUUGGUCGAUAAAGUGUAAUACAGCUAGUGUAUGAUUGAUGUUUGCAUUGUUGUAGCUCUUUUCUGUGUGUGAUUUGCUAACAGAAAGUGUUUGGAAAGUGUAUAAUUUAAAAGUGUAAUAUAACUAGUGUAUGAUGUUCGGCUAGUGUAUGUUGUUCAGCACUUUUAUCUGGUGAAAUUCUAACAAUAUGGGUUCAGACAAGAGUAGGCACACUAUUUUUUUAUACAACCAAGUUUAGUUCAUAAGACUUUGGAAAAUUAUUAACUAUGUUGGGGCUGACUGUUUUAAAACAUCUUCUAUUUACUUGUUUAAUGUUGACUUUUGGGAUCAGUUUUUUUUGGAGUUUAUGUUGACUGUUUUGGUUGACUCUUUUUCUAUACAUUUUUUCCUUUUCAACAUUCUGAAUUUAACUUGUUCCAUCUUAAAUUUAUACACGUUUGUAUAAAUUUAAGAUGGAAAAGGGCCUUCAAAAAAUAACAAAGGAGCAAGGAACAGGACAUUUAGUAAACCUGGACCAUUAUCAAUCAUGAAAAAUAUAAAACGACGUAUGAUGACAACAAAUGAAAUCAUUCAAGCUAUACGAUCGUAGAAAGAGAAUCUUCUAAAUUAAUUAAACAAGAGCAUCCACCAAUAGCUCUACCAGCACCACCAUCUAGAGAAAUUGAACAAUCUAUAGUGGUGCACCAUGUUGUAGAAGAGUAAUAUGCAGAGGAUAAGCAAUAAGUAGAGGAUUGGGUCCAAAUGACAAAUUAAGCCAAUCCUACAACAACUAAACAUUCUGACGCACAAGGUAAUAUAUAACUUAGAAACUUAUUAAAUUCAUUCAUGACCUAUAAUUUCUUCUAUUUUUAUAGCUGAAGGACCUUUAACUAGAAAAACAAGAGGCAAAACACAAAUGCAGAAGUUACAUGACCGAUAAGAGAAAAAAUUUGAUAACAUUAUCAAAACAACCAUCCUGUUGGUCCUAUUGAUAAAGUUAUAACUGAGUUGGGCAGCUUCCUAAGCAUAUUGGCAAGGAAUGCGACCCUUUUUCCAUUGGAUAUAUUUGAUUGGAGACGUAUGGAGACAAAAAAGGAUUUAUGGGAUUAUACCCAGGUUUUUGUUCUUAAUAUUUGAUUUUUUAGUUUAGUGGUGCAUUAUAUUUGAUAUAUUUUCAGUUGAGUGGUUUUGGUGUCUAUGAAUGUCGUGGCUGCAUUUUCUAGCUUUAUUAUAGAUUAGGUACUUUAUAAUUUGACAACGAAUUAACAAGUAGAUUGACAAGGGGAUUAUUGGAAUUUCUACCCUUUUCUCCUUAAUUAAAGGUGCACUUUUUUGUUGUUCUAACUGAAUGGAACCAACUUAUAGUUAAAAUAUGAUAUUCUUGGUGCCACAAAAGAUUGGGUUUUGGAAAGAAUUCGAGAAUCUUGGAGAAAGCAUAAAGCUGAUUUAAAGGAAGAACGUUACGAUACAUAUGAAAAUGAUGAAGUUCAAUUGACCAAAAGGCCCAAAAGUGUUCUAGAAUGUCAAUUUAAAGAGCUCCUCCUGUAUUGGAAGUGCGAAAAAUUCCAGAAAAUGUCAAAAACCAAUACUGGGAAUCGAAAGAAACUGAUGAAUCUACCUACUACUGGGAAGAAGAAUUUUGCUUUUAGUUCGCAACAAAUUGGAAAAUGAGAAGGGGGGAAAUUUGUCUCUAAAGGAGAUGAUUGUGGCCACAAUAGCAAGAAAACAUGAUCAUACCUACAAGGCGUCUAAUGAAGACACCACCAGUAAAAUUGCUCAAAUGGAGGUAAAUAAAAAAUAAUAGGGUACAAAUGAACAAUCCAUUGAUGCAUUUUCAGUCGUCAUGGGUGCUGAACAUCUGGGAUGUCUAAGAAUAUUUGGAGAGGGUUUACAAAGAUUUCUUUGAAAAGAUUAAACGGUAGAUCUAGACCAACUUUAAAUGCCACAAAAGAUGUCAUGCAACAAAUGCAAGAAAGGAUACAAGAAAUGGAGGAUCAAAUCAAGGAGCAAAAGAGAAUCAUUCAACAAGAAGUUAUUAUAGAUGUAAUUGCUCAACUUGAGAAUGCAAGAAUAAUUGAUCCUAAGACACUGGCAGCAUUUUCCAUUCCUUUACCAAUAUAAUCGACUUGUACACUAGCAUCUACAGGGAGAAAUAGUCAAAAAAGUCAAUGUUAGUAUUUGAAAUUCUGAAUUGUACUCCAGUUCAUUUAGUGGUUGAUAUUAUUGUUGUUGUUAGACUGUAUUGGACAGUUACUGGUGGUUGGUAACUGUGUAUUAUAUAUCA